UUCAAUGUAUUUAUUUAAGUUUCAAUUCACUGAAGAUUGCAAGAGAGGAACAGUUCGCUAAAAUGGCAAUAGGAUUCCUGAUUUUGACCGGCUUGCUGGCCUUCGGCACGUACUGGACCACCAGGUACCUGAUCUCGGCGGCGGAGCCUAACAAUAUCGCUACUGUCUCCCCAAACGACGACAGUAUACUACGCUUGAUGUUCAACAAGUCUGGUUGACAUCGCCAUCAGCUGUCCCGCGUCUACUUGCAUACCUACUUAGCGGACUCGCGAGGAAGGCAUUUAACGUUGCAACUAAUAGUGCUUAAAUAUUAGUCAAAUUGUAUUGAUUAUGUUCUUUUAUUUAUCAUUUAAUUUUAAUUUCCACCGGAUGCAUCUGCAAGACAAAGUGCCUGCUUUUUCUGAUGUUUCAUAUUUGCAACAUGUUUCCAGUCCCACGAGAUCGGCAAUUUUAAACAUCACAUCUUGAUUUAACUUUCAGUGCGUUUCGCUCAAACUCGUAAGCAAAUUGCAAAAAAAUAACUCUGACUAGGACCAUUUUUGUACAUUGGUACAUGUGAUACCUAUAAAUUCUAUCUGAAAUAACUUGAACACAUUACAUUAUCGUCGGGUGACAAGCAAAACUCACUAAGUACUAUCAAAAAAUUAAAGUAAUAAUACACUUUAUUACACUUGUAACACGGUUUAUUGUCCAAUAAUUUCAAUGAUGUUAGUUAGUGACUUUUGCUUGUCACCCGACGAUAUGCUUCAUUGAUCGGAAAUUGAAAAUUAUGCGUGAAGGUAAGAAUGAAACUUGACAUGGGAACUAUGAACGUAUUUAGUUUUAAGAUUCUUAUUAGAUUUUUAUAAGUUAGGGUACCGUAAAACCACCCAACUAUAGUAAAUUACUACAACCAUCGUUCACAAGUUCAAUAAGUAAAAAUAAGUAUCAAAACCAAAGUAUUUUUUUGUAUUUUACGAGUUAAAUAUUUCUCUUAUAUUUUAUGAAAAUGUUUUUGCUCAGAAAUGCGUCAUUCAAAUAAUAGUCACACCUAAAUGAUAAUACUAUUAUUCUGUGCUUAAAUUAAUAUAUUGGAGUUCAUUUAAUCCAUAGUUGGGAGAUUUUGGAGUUUUAGGACUAUAAUUGGGUGGUUUUACGUUACCUAUAAUAUAAAUAUUAUAAAUAAGUUUAUUGACUUAGUGUGAUUACAUUUACUUUUUGUGUCGUCAUUUUUAUACGAUGUACGAGUAUUAAGUAAAUAAAGAGUUUGAAUAAGUUACACUUUUUUUCAUCUCUAUUACCUGCAAAGUGGGUCAUUGUGUAUCUGAGAAGAGGAUUGAAAGUUAUUUUCGUAUUUCUCUUUGUCUCUGUCCCUUGAAUUAGAUAUUGUUCUCAUUCUAUUUAACUCAGGAUAGAUUUUAAACUGGGUGUUAUUUUUAACCGUUAACUUCGUCGUAAGUACGACUGAAGUACAUUUAAGGAAACUAAAAUAAUUAAAUGCUCCAUCUAUCGCUAGUGUAAAACAGGUAUCUAAUAUAGUGGUAUAAUACGAGGUACCGCUGAUAAAUCAUAGCCAAGCUGUGAGGACCGAGUCAGCGACUUCAUUUCAUUACAUUUCAAUGUUUCGUUUUACAACUUUGUUAACCGAUUACAUUAUUUUUGUUAGUUUAAAAAUAAACUAAGUACAAAUUAGCCCCCGUAUUCAUAAAACUCAGCAAACAUUUGUUAUAUUCUGUCCCUUCCUAACAAACACAAAUGUUAUAAUGACGGAUAAAGACAAACCAUUAUGAAGGACUUGUAAGACUUUAUUAUAAAAUCUAUUU